rnacentral:rRNA from 1 species
UGAACGCUGGCGGCGUGCUUAACACAUGCAAGUCGAACGAUGAAGCCUAGCUUGCUAGGUGGAUUAGUGGCGCACGGGUGAGUAAUAUAUAGAUAAUGUACCUCUUAGUCUGGGAUAGCCAUUGGAAACGAUGAUUAAUACUAGAUACUCCUUCUUCUUCUAAUUGAAGUCGGGAAAGUUUUUCGCUAAGAGAUCAGUCUAUAUCCCAUCAGUUAGUUGGUAGGGUAAUGGCCUACCAAGGCAAUGACGGGUAGCGGGUUUGAGAGGAUGAUCCGCCACACUGGUACUGAGACACGGACCAGACUCCUACGGGAGGCAGCAGUGAGGAAUAUUGCACAAUGGAGGAAACUCUGAUGCAGCAACGCCGCGUGGAGGAUGACGCAUUUCGGUGUGUAAACUCCUUUUAUAAGGGAAGAAAAUGACGGUACCUUAUGAAUAAGCACCGGCUAACUCC